ACGAUGAUGGUCCUCUGUGGACAUCUUACUAGACAGUGCUGGAUUGUGUGCUCUGAUUCUAACACUGUCUGGUAACGAUGUUCAAAGGGUGAG